rnacentral:lncRNA from 1 species
CUACAUUCGAUAUAAUUAUCGUCUUUAUAAUAAUUGUAUUAUUUGAUCGUGAGCAGGAUUUAAGAACUAUAUGAUAAAUCCUCCUUUAUCAUUUUGAAAGUAGCUCUAAGAACUUCAUCAUAACAUAUGAGUUCUAUUUUGAAAGAUGUAUUCCUUAUGAUGAAUCUUGUCAGAUAAUAUUUAUCAUUUUAUAAUUCAUAUAUAUGUAUAGAGCACAACUAUCUACAACCUAGAUGAUUGACUUUAGGAUAUAUUUUUCAACAACUCCCACUUGGACUAAAGCCAA